GUCAGAAAUUAGUUUUACGAUAAGUUCAACACGCGAAUGGAACCAAUCAACUCGGAAGGCGCUAAAAAGAUAAACAACACCGACAAUAAGAAAACAAGCUCAAUCUAGAGACCCAAAGAAUGGAAAGUCAUUUAUCGAACGCUUCAAAGAAUGAAACCGUUUUCCGGCAGCAAACGACGACGAUGGAGACGGAUUGCCCAACACAAGACCAUUGCCCGAUAGUUCUCUAGGUGCUCCAAAUAGUCAAACUGCUCUCGAAGCCAAUAGAAGCAAACCAGCCCAACCAAACGUCCAUACUUUCCAAGCUUGAGCUUCAACUAGCUGUUGAACGAUAAGGAAUGUGGCCAAGUGCGUUAAGCAAUUGCUGUUCAUGGGCACGAAAACUCCGGACACCAGGUAAUCGCUUAAGGGAGUUUAAAUUGCUUAACACCUUUUAUCGCAUGAAUAGAGUUCAAUUAUAAGGUGCCAUUUUAUUGGGAA